rnacentral:misc_RNA from 1 species
GCCAAUGCCCGACAAGAAGUUGGGGUGAAGGAGAAGGGCAGUUCAGUUGCUUCCAGUGCUAAACGAAAUGUUGUGUCUGAUAAUUCAGGUAGUGCAGAUAAAGGAUCAGAUGAAAGUAGCACAACUACUUCUGCUCCAGAUUCCGAAUCAGAGGCUAAGCCAGUUUUAUCUGAUGUGCCCAGCAACACAACCCCGAUCAGUUCAGAAGAUUCUGGUUGUGAUCUGUACCAUGGAAU